GCGCAGGUGGUGAAAUUGGUAUACACGCUACUUUGAGGGGGUAGUGCCGGUUCCGGCGUGUGAGUUCGAGUCUCAUCCUGCGCACAA
rnacentral:tRNA from 1 species